rnacentral:rRNA from 1 species
CCCUUAGAUGUCCUGGGCCACACGCGCGCUACACUGAUGCAUGCAACGAGUUUAUAACCUUGGCCUGAAAGGUCUGGGUAAUCUUUUGAACGUGCAUCGUGAUAGGGAUAGAUUAUUGCAAUUGUUAAUCUUGAACGAGGAAUUCCUAGUAAACGCGAGUCAUCAGCUCGCAUUGAUUACGUCCCUGCCCUUUGUACACACCGCCCGUCGCACCUACCGAUUGAAUGGUUCGGUGAAGAUCUCGGACUUCGAUAUUUAUUCUUUAUUGAGUUUAUAUUGUGGGAAGUUAUCUAAACCUCAUCAUUUAGAGGAAGGUGAAGUCGUAACA